GAUGAACGCUGGCGGCGUGCCUAACACAUGCAAGUCGAGCGGCAGCGAGGGGUGCUUGCACCCUGUCGGCGAGCGGCGGACGGCUGAGUAACGCGUGGGAACGUGCCUCAAAGUGAGGAAUAACUGCCCGAAAGGGUAGCUAAUACCGCAUAUUAUCUUCGGAUCAAAGGAUUUAUCCGCUUUGGGAGCGGCUCGCGUCGGAUUAGGUAGUUGGUGAGGUAAUGGCUCACCAAGCCGACGAUCCGUAGCUGGUCUGAGAGGAUGACCAGCCAGACUGGAACUGAGACACGGUCCAGACUCCUACGGGAGGCAGCAGUGAGGAAUCUUCCACAAUGGGCGAAAGCCUGAUGGAGCAACGCCGCGUGCAGGACGAAGGCCUUCGGGUUGUAAACUGCUUUUAUAAGUGAGGAAUAUGACGGUAACUUAUGAAUAAGGAUCGGCUAACUACGUG
rnacentral:rRNA from 1 species